rnacentral:misc_RNA from 1 species
UACGUAGGGGGCAAGCGUUGUCCGGAUUUACUGGGCGUAAAGCGCACGUAGGCGGAACGUUAAGUCAGAGGUGAAAUCCUGGAGCUCAACUCCAGAACUGCCUCUGAUACUGACGAUCUAGAGUCCGGAAGAGGGGAGUGGAACUCCUAGUGUAGCGGUGGAAUUCGUAGAUAUUAGAAAGAACACCAGUGGCGAAGGCGGCUCACUGGUCCGGUACUGACGCUGAGGUGCGAAAGCGUGGGGAGCAAACAGG